rnacentral:misc_RNA from 1 species
GAAAUGCGAUAAGUAGUGUGAAUUGCAGGCACCGUGAAUCAUCAAAUCUUUGAACGCACAUUGCACUGUCUGGAAUUCCGGACAGUAUACCUGUUUGAGUAUCAGUAACUCCUCUCCUACAACCUCACUAGUGAGCUGUGGAGGAUUUGGGUCAUUGUCAUUCGUGGCAUGACUUUAAAUUAAUUUGCUGGCAGGCCUUUCGCUUGCACUUGUAGCUGACAGAGUUAAUGGGCACUUGUGCCUGUCGCUGUUUGAUACCUGUGCUCUAGCAAUGGCUGCGCUGCAGUACUGAUAAACCGCACAGUGGCCUUUGGGCAGACUGUGAUCUUGAUCUCAAAUCAGGUAAGACUACCCGCUGAACUUAA